AGUGAACGCUGGCGGUAGGCCUAACACAUGCAAGUCGAGCGGCAGCACAGUAAGAGCUUGCUCUUACGGGUGGCGAGUGGCGGACGGGUGAGGAAUACAUCGGAAUCUACUUUUUCGUGGGGGAUAACGUAGGGAAACUUACGCUAAUACCGCAUACGACCUACGGGUGAAAGCAGGGGAUCUUCGGACCUUGCGCGAUUGAAUGAGCCGAUGUCGGAUUAGCUAGUUGGCGGGGUAAAGGCCCACCAAGGCGACGAUCCGUAGCUGGUCUGAGAGGAUGGUCAGCCACACUGGAACUGAGACACGGUCCAGACUCCUACGGGAGGCAGCAGUGGGGAAUAUUGGACAAUGGGCGCAAGCCUGAUCCAGCCAUACCGCGUGGGUGAAGAAGGCCUUCGGGUUGUAAAGCCCUUUUGUUGGGAAAGAAAAGCAGCAGGUUAAUACCCCGCUGUUCUGACGGUACCCAAAGAAUAAGCACCGGCUAACUUCGUG
rnacentral:rRNA from 1 species